ensembl:lncRNA
UUUGUGACUUUUCUUCAUUACAGCAGUAUGAUUUCCACUCUAAUGACAGGCACAUCCUGACUUCCAACAUCGAUCAGCGCACAAAGUGCUGCCUUCUCUCUGGCAAACUCUUCAAGGUGAGAAGAGUCACUUUUCGUAGAGUUCAAAAAGUAGUGUUUUGAACUCAGCUAAUGAGGAAAUUAUGUCCAGCAGCACCCAUGUCAACACUCAGAGUUUAAUAUGCCUCUAAUCCCGAUAACGGACCUGUCCUACUCCACGUACUCUGUGGAGACGGAGCUGAUCCCAGGUAUCGACCUCUUCUCUGAGCCAGAUCGGAGGAAUCUUUGCACCACUAUUGCCAGUUUGUCUUUUCUCUGCCACUGGCUGUAUACCUCAGGACACCGUCUCAAGGUUCUUCAUGUACUGGCUCUGUACCUGUAUAUUACCGGAAACGUGUGUCGGGAUCGACACCUCACUGUCAUGUGCAGAAUACUGAAGGUUUGAAAGACAUUGUUGUCUGCUGUAAAUCUUUGUUUCAUUGAAUGUAUUUGUCUAUUUGAGACUUAUGGGUUUAUAUUAAGUUUGUUUGUGUAUACAGGUAAAGGUAUUUACAGAGUUGGGGGCCUUCACUCAGGCAUUUAAAGAACUCAGCAGUCUCACAAUUAGCAGGGAAAUCCCUGUACCUCAUGCAGGCCACCACAGAGCAGAGAAGCCAUGUUGGGUAAAGCAGCCUAACCAAUAAAAAAAUACUUAGUUGACAAAAGCAAUACAUGCAAUUAUUUUCUUUACAGUAAAGUGUAGAGUUGAUAUGUUUCUUUAGUACCAAAUCAGCAUAUUAGAAAGAUUUCUGAAGUAGCAUGUGACACUGGAGUAAUGGCUGCCAAAAAAUUCACAUUGAAUCCCACAUGCAAAGGAAAUAGUUAAUGAAGAGAAACCGCUGUUGGAUCCUUCCAAUCUUCGAGUUAUGGAGGAAGUGGUUAAUAGGAGGCCGUGUAAAGACAUCGAGGCUCUUUAUGGCUCAAAAUUGACCAGACAUCUCCUGAUGGCCAGAGUUAAUCUCAUCUUGGCUAUAUGUAGCACUAUACAUGUCCUUCCUGAGCUACUGGCUGCAGAGUUAUCCGAAUCUCAGGAGAAACGCUCUAGCACUUCUUGUUUGCCUGAUGUCUCCAGCAGUGACGAGUCCAGUGGUCUCCAGCUCAUUGCCAGGAAACUCACAUUAGGAGAAUUCAAGGUGCUCCAUUUUAUCGUUAUAGCUUUCCAACUUUCAUUUCUGUUAAAUUGUUCUUCCAGAUCUAGGCCUAUAAAAGCAUUUUAA